rnacentral:ncRNA from 1 species
UGCUAGCUUUGAAGGCAACCCCGACGAGACGCGCCGUACCGGGACAACGCAAAGACGACGCACC